rnacentral:rRNA from 1 species
AAGGUUUUCGGAUCGUCAAACUCUGUUGUUAGAGAAGAAUAGGGGAAAAGAGUAACUGUUUUCCUCGUGACGGUAUCUAACCAGAAAGCCACGGCUAACUACGUGCCAGCAGCCGCGGUAAUACGUAGGUGGCAAGCGUUGUCCGGAUUUAUUGGGCGUAAAGCGAGCGCAGGCGGUUUUUUAAGUCUGAUGUGAAAGCCCCCGGCUCAACCGGGGAGGGUCAUUGGAAACUGGAAGACUUGAGUGCAGAAGAGGAGAGUGGAAUUCCAUGUGUAGCGGUGAAAUGCGUAGAUAUAUGGAGGAACACCAGUGGCGAAGGCGGCUCUCUGGUCUGUAACUGACGCUGAGGCUCGAAAGCGUGGGGAGCAAACAGGAUUAGAU